AUGCUGUUAAUCUGUGACCCUACCUCCAACCUUGUCCUUGCAAGAGACAUGUGUUGCGGUGACUCAAGGUUUAAUGGAUUUUGGGCUGUGCAGGAUGUGUCUUUGUUAAACAAAUGCCUGAAGGUAGCUUGCUGGUUAAAAGUUAUCACCAUUCUCUUAAUCUCAACUACCCAGAGACACGUACACGGCCAAAGGUCGCAGGGACCUCUGCCUAGGAAAGCUAGGUAUUGUCCAAGUGGGGAAAAGAAAGAGAGAUCAGCCUGUUACUGUGUCUAUAUAGAAAGAAGUAGACAUAAGAGACUCCAUUUGGUUCUGUAUUUGAGAUGCUGUUAAUCUGUGACCCUACCCCCAACCUUGUCCUUGCAAGAGACAUGUGCUGUGGUGACUCAAGGUUUAAUGGAUUUUGGGCUGUGCAGGAUGUGUCUGUGUCAAACAAGUGCCUGAAGACAGCUUGCUGGUUAAAAAUCCUGCCUGUCCCUGGGCAAUGGAACAUCUCGGUGUAAAACCCAAUUGUAUGCUCUGUUUACUGAGAUAGGAGAAAACCGCCUUAUGGCAUAAGGUGGGACUUGCUGGCGGGACUUGCUGGAGCAAUGCUGCUAAGAGGUUUAUGGAGAUGUUUGUAUAUGCAUAUCAAGGCACAGCAGUUUCCUUUGAACUUAUUCAUGUCACAGAGAUCUUUAUCCAUAUGUCUUACUGCUAAUUUUCUCCCUUCAGUGAUCCUAUUGUCCUGCCACUCCCUUAUCUUUAAGAUGGUAAAGAUAAUUAUCAAUAAAUACUAAGGGAACUCAGAGACUGGUGCCGGCGUGCGUCCUCUGUAUGCUGAGGGCUGGUCCCCUGGGCCCACUUUUUCUUUCUCUGUACUUUGUCUCUGUGUCUCAUUUCUUUUCUCAAGUCCCUCGUUCCACCUAACGAGAAAUGCCCACAGGUGUGGAGGGGCAGGCCACCCCUUCAAUAUCCCCCCAGAAAACAAACUUUACUUCUAACAUGAGCAUUUUUUAAUCUCUUUAUUGUCUCAUAUCAUUUCUUUGUACUGUAUUUUCAUGUCCAAAUUCUACUGAUUUCUGAAAAUAUGGUUUAAAUAUCCC
rnacentral:lncRNA from 1 species